rnacentral:rRNA from 1 species
AGCCUAACAGCUAGCUUAAUCAACACAAUCAACACACCCAUAUUUAUAACCCCACAUGAAAUAUUCUUUGAAAGCAAAACAUUUUACCCCUUUAGUAUAGGCGAUAGAAAGAGGACAUAAGCAACAGAAAAAGUACCGCAAGGGAACGCUGAAAAAGAAAUGAAAGAACUCAGUUAAGCACAAAAAAGCAAAGAUUCACCCUUGUACCUUUUGCAUCAUGGUUUAGCAAGCCUUAUUUAAGCAAAAAGAAUUGAAGUUUAAAACCCCGAAUCCAAGUGAGCUACUCCAAGACAGCCUGUUUAUAUAGGGCUUAACCCGUCUCUGUGGCAAAAGAGUGGGAAGAGCUUUGAGUAGAGGUGAUAAACCUACCGAACUUGGUGAUAGCUGGUUGCCUAAGAAAUGAAUAGAAGUUCAGCCCUUAAAAAUUCUUAAGCCACAGCCCUUUUUAAAGGAAAAAGAAAUUUAAGGAGUUACUCAAGGGAGGUACAGCUCCCUUGAGAGAAGAAACAACUUUUUAAGGAGGAUAAAGAUCAAAUUUGAAACAAGGUCUUGUACACUAGUGGGCUUAAAAGCAGCCACCUAUAGAAAAAGCGUUAAAGCUUAAGUACUAAAAACACCUAUAAUUACGAUAUAACCCUCUUAAUCCCCUAAAAAUAUUAAGCCACCUUAUGCCACCAUAAAGGUGAUAAUGCUAAUAUGAGUAAUAAGAGAUAAGCAUCUCUCCUAGCAUGAGUGUAUUUCAGAACGAACCAAUCACUGAACAUUAACGGCCCCAAAAAGAGGGAAUUGAACUAAAAAUAAAUAACCAGAAAAACCACCAAACUUAACCGUUGAUCUUACACAAGUAUGCUAAUCAGGAAAGACUAAAAGGAAGGGAAGGAACUCGGCAAAAUUACAAGCCUCGCCUGUUUACCAAAAACAUCGCCUUCUGACAACACACAAAUAGGAGGUCCCGCCUGCCCUGUGAUCAUGGAUUUAACGGCCGCGGUAUUUUGACCGUGCAAAGGUAGCGCAAUCACUUGUCUUUUAAAUGAAGACCUGUAUGAAUGGCAUAACGAGGGCUUGACUGUCUCCCUUACCCAGUCAAUGAAAUUGAUUUUCCCGUGCAGAAGCGGGAAUAAGAACAUAAGACGAGAAGACCCUGUGGAGCUUUAGACAAUAAAUGGCCCCCGUAAAGAAUACCUUAUUAAAGAAUUAAACAAAGAGUCAACCCAUUUUGCUGUCUUUGGUUGGGGCGACCGCGGGGAAAAAGACAACCCCCAUGAGGAAUCUGAGCACCACUCUUUAAAUGAAGAGCACCAGCUCAACAUAACAGAACAUCUGACCUAUAACGACCCGGUAGAAGUACCGAUCAACGAAACCAGUUACCCCAGGGAUAACAGCGCAAUCCUCUCCCAGAGCCCAUAUCGACGAGAGGGUUUACGACCUCGAUGUUGGAUCAGGACAUCCUAAUGGUGCAGCCGCUAUUAAGGGUUCGUUUGUUCAACGAUUAAAGUCCUACGUGAUCUGAGUUCAGACCGGAGUAAUCCAGGUCAGUUUCUAUCUAUGUAAUGCCCUCUCCCAGUACGAAAGGACCGAAGAGGCGAGGCCCCUGUUUCUUAUACGCCUCACCACCUACCUAAUGAAACCAACUAAAAUAGGCGAAGAGGCAUUCCAAGUCUCUCCCCGUCACAGAUAAUGACUU